CCGCGUUUAGAGGAUCAGUGGCGGCGGCACCCGCGGCCCCGCGCGGCGCGGACGGCGGGCAGCACCGUGCCUGGGCCCCCUCCUGUUCCGGUUCCAGAAUGACGCUCGGCCCACGGACAGAGCCUGCCCAGUCACUCUCGGCUGCUAUUGAUCCCGAGGAUGAUGGCCGCCCCUGGCCACUUCCCUCCUCUCUCUUCGGCUCCAGAACAGCCCAAGGAGCAGAAAAGAGUGAUAAGGCCGUGAAAGGAGGCGCCUGGGACGUAGCCAGCUCUAGGAGGUUACCCCAUGCGGAGUACACACCCUGCUACACCCAUCCCGGAGGAGGGAGGAAAUAGCCAGCCCGGAGCACCCCUGGACUCUGCCGGUCUCAGAGGCCACGCAAACUCCGCCCAGACUCGGUGAGGCCGCGGUAAUGCCACGCAGGGAACUGCGUGGAUAAGGUCGCUCGGAUCUGAGCGCCAAGGUCUCCCGCCUCUCCUUCCCGUCUAGUUCUCUCCGGACUCAAAUUGCCUUAAUCUCACCCAUCACUGUCUCAUGGAAGUGAUCUACUCGUGUGCAGUACUUUACAGCUUGUAUCACUGUCUCCCCUGAACCGUAUAGCAAGCGGGUGGUGGAGGGUGGAAGAGAAGGGUACUAUCUCCACUUUCCCGGCCAGGAAGCCCAAUUUAGGAGGCUUGUCCGAGAUCCCUAGGUCAGCGCACUAUUUAAGGCUCGGGCAACAGGGGCACGACAGCCCCAUGGAAAUGCAGAGACCCAUGUCCACGCACACAAGCGCCAUUCACAGGGAAGUAUUUUCCUGACACAAAAUCCAAUGUCAGUUUCCUUUCCUUUCCCCGUUUUAUAUUUUUCCACCCCCCUUCACCAGAAAUAUUUUUUAACCUCCUCAGAGCCUUGGCGGAAAAGAGCCAUUAAUUUGCAAAUCAUCUGAUCUGUGAAAGGGUCAAGAUGCCUGGUUUUCACUGCUAAAUCCAAUGUCUUGAGUGGACACAGAGGCACACACAAGCCCGUCAUGCUGCCAACCCUUGGGAGCGUAGGUGCCAGAUCUGAAGCCAAGAAAAGACUCCCUCUCCUCCCGGGACCUGCAGCUGAAUUAAGCCUUAGAUUCCAAGCUGCAUAAUGUUCAUAUUUUUAAACCUGGAGAGAAGUGGAGAGAUGAAGGGGGACAAAAAGAGGGGGAACUUUGCUAAUUAACAUGUUCCAUUCAGGACUUAGACUAAUUGUCUUCCCCACUUCCAGCCGCCCCCCCCAACCCCACCCAAGCCAUUUCUUACAGGAGUUGCUUUUAUUCAUUCUCAUGUCCCACUCUUCUCAUUUUUGGAUUAAUAUCUACUUGUUUAAUAUCUACUGUGGAGCAAAAACGUGACCAUGCUCUUUCUUUUCAGAGGGUUGGAAGCAGCACAGAUUCCUAGACAAGGAGCUUGGAGACUUGGCUACACUGUCCCUGGCCAUUGGGGAAGACAUUUAGCCUUUCCGGGCCUCAGUUUUCCCAUCUGUAACAUGAGGGGAUUCGGCUAAAUGAUUACUGAGGUCCCUUCCAGCUUCGACCUCCUCUGACCGAAUGAGAUAAUGUGUGAAAACACUUUGUGAACACUAACACCGGACGAAUGCCAGGGAUCAUGAUUACGAUUCUAAUCAAUCCUCUUUUCUUCACAUGGAUCUUGGCUGUUUAGUGCCAGCAAGCAGGCUAAAUAGGGGGCUGAAAGCAAGAAAGCUUAACGGAGAUGGAAAAGCUCUGUGCCGUGGACGGAAAAAAAAAAAAACCCCUGCAUCUCCAUAAACAUUGUGUCUCUGUGUGCCCCCUGAGGCCUAGUGGGAAGGGUUGGGGAGGAGGAGGCCUGACUUGGUAUGACCCUGUGUGCCCCCCUGAGGCCUAGUGGGAAGGGUUGGGGAGGAGGAGGCCUGACUUGGUAUGACCCAUUUCAGUCUACAUGGCGGCAGAGAGUGUAUUUCUUCAAAAGCAUUGUUGGUCUCCAAGUGACUGACAUGGGAACCUGAUGGGAAGGCGAUUUGCAAUUGUUUUUUUCCAGGAAGAAAGAAAGAGCAAGGUGUAGCUGAUUAGCAAGUUAAUUAUUUCAGUACCCCAAGGGUUCCAGUGUGGUGGUAAGUUGUCCAGCCCUGGUAUAAUUUCACAGUCUGUGCAUUUCCUGGUGAGCACCUGGGGUGCCCGAGUCUGUCUCUUUCUCCUUCCACCUGCCUUGUGUCUUCCUGACACACCUGGGGAGAUGAGCAGGGGCUGGGGAGGUUGAUGGUACAAGGUACACAUUCGGCUUAGGCUGCGGGUGGGGGCCACACCGAGAACAGGGUGGAGGAAGCCCAACUGAUGCCAUCUACCUCCGCUGAGUGUUUAAUUAUCUGGCCCUUUCUUCUUUAAAAAAAUCUUUUGUUUAAUAAAUAUUAAUGAGGCGGGUUAUCGGAAAGUGUAGUUGCCAUGAGGUUAUUUCCCUAGCCUUAGCAUGGAAAGAAACUGGGUUUGAGGAGCCUUUCGGCCCCUCACCGCCUCCUACCCCCACCAGCUCUCCCGUGCUCACGUUCCGCAGCAGCUCCUCCGGUCUCACUUCAAGAUUUGAUUUCCCCUUGGGGGAGGGGAGGGGAGGGGAGGGAGGAUCGUGUGGUCAAAUGGACACUUCCCCUCGGAGAGAUAAGUUGGAGAUGUGAACAUUAGCCUCAAGAAUUAACAGCUUCUGCCGCUCUCUGCUCUCGGGGCUGAGAGGGCCAGCCCCCCCCGCUGCUCCUUCCGAGAUGGAUGAAGGGAGGGCUCUACAGUUUACUUAAGAGUGGUCCCAUCUGCUCAGACUGGCCUUUCAUAAGGGGAGGGAUUUAUGCAGUGUCCUUGUGCACAGACCUGGGAUUUGGCUGAAAACCUUGGGCCUCUGAGAAUAUUACUGAACGCUAAAACGUUCAGCCAUGGAGAUGAUUCAUGAUUUUGUCUGCAUGGACAGGGUGGGUGUGUGUGUGUGUGUGGUGUGUGUGUGUGUGUGCGUGUGUGUGUGUGUGUGUGUGCGCGCGCGCGCGCACGCCUGUUUGUUGGGGUUGCACGCACAGUGAUGAUGGGUGCUAUUCACCGUUCUCACUUUGAAUCCAAAUGUUAGGAAACUUUUUUUCCUUCUGUAUUCACUCAGGAGACAGGCCCUGGCACCAGGCUCUGGAGAGCCCACUUCCUGACUCCAGCGGUGCGAAGAUGAUACAAUACUUUCUGGUGUUGACAUUCAGCUGUCCCCCAAACAGGUUGGCUGAUAGCCCUGCUGGUCCUUGGAGAGGGGCCGGGGGCUGUCUAAAAAGACAGUUCUGAUGACUGCUUCAUUGCUAGUGGCAGAGGAUUUGGGGCACAGGGGUGGAGUUAAGUCCAAUUGCUGUUUAAAUUGGACUUGGCCUCCUUUAUUUUACAGUCCUAAGGGGUCUCCAUAGGAGAAAAAGUAGCGAGAGAAACUUAGAACAUAGGAAAGCAAGCAUAGGGAAGAGUUUCUUGUCUCAAUCUUGGUACUGCUGUGCCAAAAUGAAGCCCAGGGAUGGUUAAAAACGGAUCCUAGGGGCUGGGCACCUUGGCUCAGGCCUGUAAUCCCAGCACUUUGGGAGAUCAAGAUGGGAGGAUUGCUUGAGGCUAGGAGUUCCAGACCAGCCUGGCCAACAUAGUGAGACCUCAUCUCCAAAAAUAAAAACUUAAAAAAAAUUUUAAAAAACAAAAACAAAAAUACAGAUCCUAGGGAACAGAGCUUUGAGGUUCCCUGUGGGAUCUUGGCCUGAGUCUUGGGAGAUGAAGUCCUUGGCAAGUUUGAAAAGAUCUGCAAGUGCCAUCUAUUCAGGGGACUAAAUGUGAUUUUUUUUCACUGCCCAGUGGCUGGUAAGGAAGGAAGCACUUUGCAUUUUCAGCUUGCAGGAUGGUUAUUGGUGGUCCUACCAUCUUGCUCAUGUUCAAGUUUGGUUGUGUAGAUGAAGACCCCAGCUUCCCAGCUCUUAGUUUUUCUUUUCCCUCAGGCCAUUCAUAAUUUAGCUAACAUUCUAGUCCAUUGACCAGCACACAUUUUGAAAGGUGAGCUGGCAAGCCUGUAACUGUGUGCAAGGUUGUUCGCAUUUAGGCUCCGGGAAGGAUAUAGUUUCCCCAUAAGAAAGAAAAGUAGGCGAGAGGCUGAGGUGGGAGGUCACUUGAGUCCGGGAGGCAAAGGUUGCAGUGAGCUGAGAACCAUGCCACUCACUGCCUUCCAGCUUGGGUGACAGAGUGAGACCCCAUCUCAAAAAAAAAAAAAAAAAAAAAAGAGAAAAUAAAUAAAAGCAAGGAACUAUUUAUAUGAAUAUUUUAAUGAAGGAUUUACCAAUCUGAUAAGUACAAAGCUCCUUUUCCUCCUUCUGAAUGAGUAACUAUGUCAGUCAAUGUUGAGGGUCUGCAGAACCUAUAAAAAAAUGCUUUCUUUGGUCUCUCAGUUUUAACACAUGCUGGGGCUUGGGCCUGUCUCUGACAGACUGGGGAGGAGUAGACACAUUCCAGAGACCAGGUCUUGGAGUGUUAUCUCUUCCCCUACCUCAAAUCCUCACCCUCCACUUUAUCUGUCUUUAGCACGAAUGCAGAGACCUCCUAGGGAAGUGUGAAGGGAUGGGUUUUCAUCAGGUUUGGGGAAGGAAGGGGAAUAAGAUGAGCCCCAAAGAAAGACGGGGGUCACUUGGAAUUUUUAGAUGACACUCUUUUGUUAUACUUUUCUUGUGUUGUGUAUUAUGUCCUACAAAUCGUGCAUUUGUUACAGUAAGCCACAGUGUGUAUGUGUGUUUGCCAAGUGCUGCUUGGCCAAAACAGUGUUAAAUAAAAUUGUA